GACAAAAAAAUUUAGUGUCUAGUGAAAGUAAAAAGAAGAAAAACAGAGCUAAGCCAAGGAAAUGAUUUCUUUCCCACCUACAAUGCAUGAAAAGAAAUUAACAUGAAAAGGGUCUGAGGAAGACAUUAAUAUUUUGAUAGUGGCAGAAGAAUGUUAUUUACAAAAAUAAUGACAAAUGUUGAAGAGAAAAUACAGGCUUCCUAGCAACUAGACCAAAGAUAAGUAGCUGUCAUUUGAACACAGGCCCAUGGCACAAGUUCAGAAACGUAAAGUUACAGAGAAAAUAAAGACCCCCAGAGCAAAAUCACCACAGUCUCCAUGGAAAUCAAUUGGUUCAUUCUUCGUCUUAAGAGUCCAGCAUUCACUCAACAAACAUCUUAUGCUGCCAGGUUUCUCUAAUGCAGCAGUAGAACUUGAUCAUAAGAACCCAUCACUGAGAACAUCAUCUAUUUUGCCCAUAAGACUUGGAGAACUGAAGCAGGAACUAAGAUGGAGAUGUCCUCACCACUAACUAGCCCCUGCAGUGUUUGGAAGAUGCUAUUCACGCUGCUAGAUGAGAGAGAACAUGAACAGCCUUAUCCGGCUAUGAACUGUGUCCAGCCACAGUAUCACUAUGUCACAUUGAUAUCAGGGCAUUUGAGGAAAAAUGGGUCCUUAGAAAGCUUUUUGCCCCCCUCCAUCUAGAGACUAAUGGUAUGCUCUACCCUGCAGAGACUAGGCCCAGACAGAAGGAUAUGCCACAGCAGGAGACAGGAUCCAGAAUGAGAAUAGACAAAAGACAUUUUCAAAAGUCCAGGUUCACAGCUUGACAGAAGCCUUCACACAGAAAGAGCCAUUGCACAUUGGACAGAUGAUCCCAGAAUGGAAGUUUCCAGAGGAAAUAACAGUCAAUAAACAGAAGG
rnacentral:lncRNA from 1 species